CCGAACCGACUAAUGUUGAAAAAUUAGCGGAUGACCUGUGGCUGGGGGUGAAAGGCCAAUCAAACCGGGAGAUAGCUGGUUCUCCCCGAAAGCUAUUUAGGUAGCGCCUCGUGAAUUCAUCUCCGGGGGUAGAGCACUGUUUCGGCUAGGGGGCCAUCCCGGCUUACCAACCCGAUGCAAACUGCGAAUACCGGAGAAUGUUAUCACGGGAGACACACGGCGGGUGCUAACGUCCGUCGUGAAGAGGGAAACAACCCAGACCGCCAGCUAAGGUCCCAAAGUCAUGGUUAAGUGGGAAACGAUGUGGGAAGGCCCAGACAGCCAGGAUGUUGGCUUAGAAGCAGCCAUCAUUUAAAGAAAGCGUAAUAGCUCACUGGUCGAGUCGGCCUGCGCGGAAGAUGUAACGGGGCUAAACCAUGCACCGAAGCUGCGGCAGCGACACUGUGUGUUGUUGGGUAGGGGAGCGUUCUGUAAGCCUGCGAAGGUGGCCUGUGAGGGUUGCUGGAGGUAUCAGAAGUGCGAAUGCUGACAUAAGUAACGAUAAAGCGGGUGAAAAGCCCGCUCGCCGGAAGACCAAGGGUUCCUGUCCAACGUUAAUCGGGGCAGGGUGAGUCGACCC
rnacentral:rRNA from 1 species